AUUGAACGCUGGCGGCAGGCCUAACACAUGCAAGUCGAGCGGAUGAAGGGAGCUUGCUCCUGGAUUCAGCGGCGGACGGGUGAGUAAUGCCUAGGAAUCUGCCUGGUAGUGGGGGAUAACGUCCGGAAACGGGCGCUAAUACCGCAUACGUCCUGAGGGAGAAAGUGGGGGAUCUUCGGACCUCACGCUAUCAGAUGAGCCUAGGUCGGAUUAGCUAGUUGGUGGGGUAAAGGCCUACCAAGGCGACGAUCCGUAACUGGUCUGAGAGGAUGAUCAGUCACACUGGAACUGGGACACGGUCCAGACUCCUGAGGGAGGCAGCAGUGGGGAAUAUUAGACAGUGGGCGAAAGCCUGGUCCAGCCAGGCCGCGUGUGUGAAGAAGGUCUUCGGAUUGUAAAGCACUUUAAGUUGGGAGGAAGGGCAGUAGGUUGAUACCUUGCUGUUUUGAUGUUACCAACAGAAUAAGCACCGGCUAACUUCGUG
rnacentral:rRNA from 1 species